rnacentral:lncRNA from 1 species
UGUGUAGAAUGAAAAAUCAUUUCGGUCGGAGCCAAUGCGCGGAAAAGGAACUGUUACGACAAACGCACAAACAGAAACGAAAUGACGAACACAAAACACAAUCAAACCACAAGCAGAAAAUAAAGAGACACUGAUUUACGUGGAAAACCCUUUGCAGGGAAAAACCACGGGCGAGGGAGGAGAGAACUUCACUAUGGAACGAAAAGGAAAUACAAUGUUCUUCAGAUUACAACCAACCACGAUCACACGCCUCUAGGGCAUAAACGAAAAACGAAAAAAGAAAAACUCAUAACGGGUUUCGUAUCCGAUCCGUACCGCGGGGGGCUCCGCCCCCCGCACUACCCACCACAGAUAUUCAUUUUUCCUCCAUAAUUUUUUUUUCCAAAUUGGUCGCACCGCGAAGCUGUCGGCGAGUCGUAAACCCGAACCUGAAUCGAUAGUAGAUUUCGAGUCACAUCUAACAGGAACGAUAUUAACCUCUCAAUCCAAAUCAAACUUGAUCACCGAAA